CAUCUCCUGCCCCUUUUAUAAAAUCAUUAUCUCAGUGACCAAAUAGCCCCUGCCAGGGAGGCAAAGUUCUUUAAAGAUGGACUCAAGCCGACAGUUGUACAGGACGGAUUAGGUCAGAAGAUAACCAUUUGCAAAGUCCAUAGAGAAAAAGUGAAUUCAGGUGACGAUCACAACGCCUAAAAGCACCAGAUGGGAACCUAUGGGGAUGAACACAACGUAAGCUGCCCUGCGAACUCCCCACCAGACCCUCAGAACAAGAGCAAGACCUUCCACCACAGCACCUCCUACUCAGCAGUCAGCCUAAAAAUAAAUAAAUAAAUAAAACCCAAGGUUAAUCAAACCUUCACUAACUUCCAGUUUUCAGGAAACACGAUGGUCAGAGCGCUGAGCUGAUGGCACCUUAAGAAAUGGACAGAUGCCCCGAACAUGGCAUCCCUUUUACACACAGGCCCAAUUUCUUCAAGCGGUGACAGGAGAAGGGAAGGACAGAGAGAGGUGAAAAGAACAGAGUCCAUCUUGACUAAAAGGGACUGAAACACCAUCGCCUAAUGCUGAACGUCACUCGUGAAGUCAGAUGAGAGCCGUCCAGACUUACAAAGGUUCCCCAAAGCCAGCAGGAAGCCUGGGAAGAGGCUCAAGUGACACUGAGGAUCGUGGUACAUGGCACAGCAGUGCUGAAGGACGGCCAGGCUUUCAAAGAUGCUCACUUGGAGUGGAGGACUGAAGUAUUAUCACUUUUCAGCCCCUUUCUGCUUCUUGGCCCGUGUCCUGACCAGCACCAUCACCAAGAACCACCUACAACUGCAAGGGAUUAACCUUGCAGUCUCCUUUGUUGAACACAGAAGGCAGAGAGCCCCAAAUCCUGCAAAAUCUGAAACUUCAAGUACCAACACGAUGCCACAGGUGGAAGAGUUCCAGAUGGAAACCUAUGGGGAUGAACACAUAUGAACACAUGUUGUGAAACUAUAUUGUGCACAAAAUUAUUAAAAGUAUUGUAUAAAAUUAUCUUCAGGCUAGGUAUAGAAGGUGGAUAUGAAAUAAAUUAAUUUCAUGGUCAGA